CUGUCUGUCCUUUCAGGAGCUGUGAUUGGGCCAGUCAGGAUUCUUAUACCUACUUUGCAGAGGCAAAAACAGACUUGGAGAGAUGAAGUCGUUCAUACAAACUCACGUGUGCAUCAAAAAUGCAGAGCCGGCUCUGACUAAGUUCAACCUCUCCCUUUUCAUUUCUGUACAACAAGACUUGCUGCUUCCUGAGAUUUAAUUGAGGCCAUGGGGAGGAGGGCAGGAAUUCAUUAUGUGGUCAAGGAUGAAGGAUGAGGGCAAAAUGUCUUUGUCAUCUUUCAUAGUUCUGUUCAGCUUAGACCUCUGACAUUUGCUUAAUUCCAGGACAGGAAAUCACUUGGCUGGGGAACAUUUCCUUAAGGCAGUGGUGCUCUAGGUGUGAUACCUGGGCCCGCAGCAUCAGUAUCACUGGGAAUGCAGAUUCUCCAGCCCUGCCCUAGACCUACUGACUCAGAAACUAUAGGCGCAGGGCUCUAGCAUCUGUGUUGGCUGUGUGAAUGAUGGUGAAAAGAUGUGUCAGCCAAGCACCUGUGAAUGAUUGUGACCUCAUUUGGAAAAGGGAUCUUUGAAGAUGUUAUUAAGAGUCAGCGUGGUUGUCAUCUUCACAGUGCCAGCAGAAGGAAUUCUGGGAAAGAAAAGAUUGUCAUUGUCACAAGAAAGGAGAGAAGGUAAAGCAUGACAGAGUCUCCAUGGAUGCUUAUUUGAUUAAGGUGAGGGUAGAAGUUGUAUUUGUCCCUG
rnacentral:lncRNA from 1 species